rnacentral:rRNA from 1 species
GAACGGGUGAGUAACACGUGGGUGAUCUGCCCUGCACUUUGGGAUAAGCCUGGGAAACUGGGUCUAAUACCGAAUAGGACCACGCGCUUCAUGGUGUGUGGUGGAAAGCUUUUGCGGUGUGGGAUGGGCCCGCGGCCUAUCAGCUUGUUGGUGGGGUAAUGGCCUACCAAGGCGACGACGGGUAGCCGGCCUGAGAGGGUGACCGGCCACACUGGGACUGAGAUACGGCCCAGACUCCUACGGGAGGCAGCAGUGGGGAAUAUUGCACAAUGGGCGCAAGCCUGAUGCAGCGACGCCGCGUGAGGGAUGACGGCCUUCGGGUUGUAAACCUCUUUCAAUAGGGACGAAGCGCAAGUGACGGUACCUAUAGAAGAAGCACCGGCCAACUACGUGCCAGCAGCCGCGGUAAUACGUAGGGUGCGAGCGUUGUCCGGAAUUACUGGGCGUAAAGAGCUCGUAGGUGGUUUGUCGCGUUGUUCGUGAAAACUCACAGCUUAACUGUGGGCGUGCGGGCGAUACGGGCAGACUAGAGUACUGCAGGGGAGACUGGAAUUCCUGGUGUAGCGGUGGAAUGCGCAGAUAUCAGGAGGAACACCGGUGGCGAAGGCGGGUCUCUGGGCAGUAACUGACGCUGAGGAGCGAAAGCGUGGGGAGCGAACAGGAUUAGAUACCCUGGUAGUCCACGCCGUANACGGUGGGUACUAGGUGUGGGUUCCUUCCU